rnacentral:rRNA from 1 species
AACGCACCUUGCGCUCCCUGGUAUUCCGGGGAGCAUGCCUGUUUGAGUGUCGUGAAAUCAUCAUGGUCAUGAUCUUUAAUUAAUCAUGGCUUGGUUUUGGAGGUUAUGUUGGCUUUUUAUUAAGUUGACUCCUCUUAAAUACAUUAGCUCAGUGUUUAAUGCUUAGAGCGGUUCACGGUGUGAUAAUUAUCACCGUGGCUGGAUUGCUUUAACGUCUAUGCCCAACCUUUUCCAUUGACUUGGAAAAACCCCACUUGACAUUUUGACCUCAAAUCAGGUAGGACUACCCGCUGAACUUAA